rnacentral:rRNA from 1 species
CCCUUAGAUGUUCUGGGCCGCACGCGCGCUACACUGACGGAGGCAGCGAGCAUGUCCUUCGCCGAGAGGUGUGGGGAAUCUUGUGAGUCUCCGUCGUGCUGGGGAUAGAUGGUUGCAAUUGUCGAUCUUGAACGAGGAAUUCCUAGUAAGCGCGAGUCAUCAGCUUGCGUCGAUUACGUCCCUGCCCUUUGUACACACCGCCCGUCGCUCCUACCGAUUGGGUGUGCUGGUGAAAUGUUCGGAUCGGCCGUUUGUCGCGGUUUCCGCGGCUCGUGGCUGAGAAGUUCAUUAAACCCUCCCACCUAGAGGAAGGAGAAGUCGUAACA